UGGGGAAUAUUGCACAAUGGAGGGAACUCUGAUGCAGCGACGCCGCGUGAACGAAGAAGGCUUUCGAGUCGUAAAGUUUUUUUAUAUGGGAAGAUAAUGACGGUACCAUAAGAAAAAGCCCCGGCUAACUACGUGCCAGCAGCCGCGGUAAUACGUAGGGGGCUAGCGUUGUCCGGAAUCACUGGGCGUAAAGGGUUCGCAGGCGGAAAUGCAAGUCAGGUGUAAAAGGCAGUAGCUUAACUACUGUAAGCAUUUGAAACUGCAUAUCUUGGGAAGAGUAGAGGUAAGUGGAAUUUUUAGUGUAGCGGUGAAAUGCGUAGAUAUUAAAAAGAAUACCGGUGGCGAAGGCGACUUACUGGGCUCAUUCUGACGCUGAGGAACGAAAGCGUGGGUAGCAAAGAGG
rnacentral:rRNA from 1 species